GGAGUUAGCCGGUGCUUCUUCUGUGAGUGAUGUCCUUCCUGCCGGCUAUUAACCCGCAGGCCUUCUUCCUCACUGAAAGUGCUUUACAACCCGAAGGCCUUCUUCACACACGCGGCAUGGCUGGAUCAGGGUUGCCCCCAUUGUCCAAUAUUCCCCACUGCUGCCUCCCGUAGGAGUCUGGGCCGUGUCUCAGUCCCAGUGUGGCUGAUCAUCCUCUCAGACCAGCUACGGAUCGUCGCCUUGGUGAGCCGUUACCUCACCAACCAGCUAAUCCGACAUAGGCUCAUCCGAUAGCGCGAGGCCCGAAGGUCCCCCGCUUUCCCCCGUAGGGCGUAUGCGGUAUUAGCCUGGGUUUCCCCAGGUUAUCCCCCACUACCGGGCAGAUUCCUAUGCAUUACUCACCCGUCCGCCGCUCGCCACCAGGGAGCAAGCUCCCCGUGCUGCCGCUCGACUUGCAUGUGUUAGCGUCGCCGCCACGCGUUCACUCUGAGCCGACGAAUACAACUACUCGA
rnacentral:rRNA from 1 species